UUGAGCACUAGAGUCUGGAUGAUCGGUACCCCAUCUUCUCAGGAUCCCACUUAAAACAGACAUCUUUUCUUGAGGAGUAGAAGAUGUAGAAAAAAAUGUUGCAAACAUUAUCAGCUUUCCCCGAAACUGCAAAGUGACUUUCUUUUUCUUGUUUUUGUUUUUCGAGACAGGGUUUCUCUGUGUAGCCCUGGCUGUCCUGGAACUCACUUUGUAGACCAGGCUGGCCUCGAACUCAGAAAUCCACCUGCCUCUGCCUCCCAAGUGCUGGGAUUAAAAGCGUGUGCCACCACCGAGCAGAACAAAGUGACUUUCUUAAAUCCAAUGUGUAAUCCUAACAGGCAGGAGGCUGAGGCAGGAAGAUAGUCAUAAGGUCAAGGCCAGCCUGAACUACAGAGUGAGACCCUGUCUCAAAGAGGAUGGGCCUUCCUCUAAGGCAUACCCAAGAUCUACACAGACCACCUGAGAUUUUCUUCCUACAGGCACAGCAGGCAGAGCGCUGUGCGGGCUCUCCUCCUCCCAGAGUAGAGAAUAGACUCUGGAAGCCCCUUGAGAGGCACUGGGGGGUGGGGAGAGAUGUCAGCUAAAGUCAGUCUUCCAGAAGCUAGCAUUUUAAAUACAAGGCCAGCCCCCCCCCCCCCGCAGUAAAUAUGUCCCAGGCACUCUUCAUGCAUUUGCUUGUAUUUUAAGUUAAUGUCCAACAACCUUUUAGAGAUACUAUCAAAAUACCCGGUAAGAGACUGCAAUCAAAAGCGAUCGCUCAGCUGAGAUAACCCAUCCAGGGAGAAAGUGAAGGGUGGGACUGGAAUCCAGCCCUCACCUCCCUCAGUGCUCUGGGGCGCUCACUAACAAAAACAACAUUGUUCACAAGGCAGACAAAAGUUAUCAGCAAAGAGGCUGAGGCGAGGUGUCCUUUCUGCAUACAGAUUCCUAAACCAUAUGAAGAAGCAACAGACUGAUGGCUGCCUCCAACGACCCCCCCCCCCCAAGACAUUUCCUCAGACAUGGGCUGGUUUUAAGAUCAUACACCUUGGGACUACCACUGUACCUAUUUCCAGCCCCGGCAAUAGACCUUCCACACUGCUCUAGGCUUAGAAAAUCAAAAAGGAUCAGUAUCUUCUGCAGUGCCAAGCAUUCUCCAAAAUCCUAGUCACACACAGUCCAGAGAAUGAGGGCUAGGCCUCUCUCUGUCCCUUUCGGGCCUCAAUUUUCUCAUUCUGUAAAAUGGGGUUAAAAUACGUUUUGUAUUUGCUGUCUUUGUCAGACAAAACCUAUAUCCUGGCAUCUAGUAGGUGCUCCAUACACGACAUAGACUAUGUCCACUAUCGAGACUGCUGGGAGGGAGACGGGGGCUUUAUACUGGCAUUAUACCUUGUCUCCCUGUGAAGUCUCUCUACGCUCUGAGGAGACAGCAAAACAAACUUUGAGGACCCCAGAACAAUUUAAUAGGAAGCAAUCUAUCAAGGGACCAAGGGUUAUCCGCUUUCUCCCCUAGCUCUCUCAGGCUGCCGCCGCCGAGGAUCAGGCCGCCAGCCAGACCC
rnacentral:lncRNA from 1 species